AACGAACGCUGGCAGCAUGCCUAACACAUGCAAGUCGAACGAGACCUUCGGGUCUAGUGGCGCACGGGUGCGUAACGCGUGGGAAUCUGCCCUUGGGUUCGGAAUAACAGUUGGAAACGACUGCUAAUACCGGAUGAUGACGUAAGUCCAAAGAUUUAUCGCCCAGGGAUGAGCCCGCGUAGGAUUAGCUAGUUGGUGGGGUAAAGGCCUACCAAGGCGACGAUCCUUAGCUGGUCUGAGAGGAUGAUCAGCCACACUGGGACUGAGACACGGCCCAGACUCCUACGGGAGGCAGCAGUGGGGAAUAUUGGACAAUGGGCGAAAGCCUGAUCCAGCAAUGCCGCGUGAGUGAUGAAGGCCUUAGGGUUGUAAAGCUCUUUUACCCGGGAUGAUAAUGACAGUACCGGGAGAAUAAGCCCCGGCUAACUCCGUG
rnacentral:rRNA from 1 species